CCCCCCAAAAAGAGAAAAAAAGUCAGGGUAAUUAUUAAACUCAGAAACACGUAGUUGAAUAUUUGUUUGAUCAUGGGUGCUGUGAUGUUUUCCACAUUAGGGCAAAAUCCUGCCUAUUUCCCACUACCUUCUGCCUUUUCCAGCUCCGUAUUAUUCCAGGAUUCUGUGCCUGGGGCUAUCUGUAUCGAUGGGAAACAAAUGUUGGUGGUACUUUAAAUUUGGAGCAAAUUUGCUAACUCCUCCCAACCCCUGAACUCUGGAAUUCCCGAAGGAAUUUCUCACACAUGGAUUAUACCCCCGCAAUGAUACAUGCGGUCAUUUCUCUCGUUUGCUAAUGAAUAACUUUCCUUGCCUCAUUGGCCAGCAGAACCAAACAAGUCAACCCUUUGGAAGGGAGGACUAGAUCCAGGAGUAAAUGAUUGGCCCGAUGGAGAUUUGUUAAGGCUUUCUAGUUUUUUUGGGAGAUGUUUAUGACUGACUGGGCAGAGUACGAAUACCCCCUGGGGAGGAAGGGACUGUGGGUCAAAGAUCUGUCUUUUCUGCCACCCACUCUCCCACCUGGAUUAAAAUCUCCUUGCUCCACCCCGAAGCACAGAUUCAUAGGUAGAUUAUAUCUGGAUUUCCCUUCUGGUGAGCCUGUUUCUCACUGGCCACAUUUACGGGUUCUAAUCCCGGCUCCCCCGCUUCUCUGCUCUGGGACCUUGGGUGGCUGUAAGAAUGUCCUCGAUUCAACUUGCUCUUAUGAUGAGAAGUGAAACGGGGUCCACUGAACAACUGAACAUUAGAAGCCAAAGGGGCAGCACAGUCUAGUGGAAAGAAUAGAGAACCGGGAGUCAGAAGGCCCGGGUUCCCGCCUGUUCCCUGACAUGCCUGCUGUGUGACCUUGGGUGCCACCCACAGCAAGGAUUACCUUUUGUUCCGAAUAUGCCAGGAUCGCCCCUAUCACCGGGAAACCCGGAGAUGUUGGUGACGGAGAAAGGUCCCGGUAUCCCUGGAAGCCCGCGACUACCCAUCGGGCCUCGGAUCCCUGAAAAGAAGGAAACAGAAAUGAACACGCUCGGUCGAGAGAAUGGAUGGCCUGAAAUACCCUGACCGCCACCCCCACCUCACCGCCCCCAACAGUCAGUGGAUGCCCAAAGUGAGGGGGCUUGGAGCCCGGACCAGAUCGUAGGCUUCCGGCCAACGCCCCUCUCCCCGGAAGCAAGAGACUGUUUGAGGGGGGCGGUGUUCCCUCUCCUAAACCACCAAGAACAUUCAGGAAACAUGAUUUAUAUUAAUGUCUGUCUCAGCCUCUACACUGUAAGGCUCAGUGUGGCCAGGGAACGUGUCUACCAACUCUGUUGUACUGUCCUCUCCCGAGUGCUUAGGACAAUGCUCUGCAUCCGGUAGGCACUCAAUAAAUACCACUGACUGAUGAAUCACUUUAAAGAAGUCAAUGAAA